CUUGAGCGAGCCCAGCCACAGCGGCCGGUCCUCGGGGCGGCCCUGCCCGUAGGCGGCCAGCAGCGCGCGGGCCUC
rnacentral:antisense_RNA from 2 species